UACGUAGGUGGCAAGCGUUGUCCGGAUUUACUGGGUGCAAAGGGCGUGUAGGCGGGCUGUCAAGUCAGAUGUGAAAUCUAUGGGCUUAACCCAUAACGUGCAUUUGAAACUGAUAGUCUUGGGUGAUGGAGAGGCAGGCGGAAUUCCUAGUGUAGCGGUGAAAUGCGUAGAUAUUAGGAGGAACACCAGUGGCGAAGGCGGCCUGCUGGACAUUAACUGACGCUGAGGCGCGAAAGCGUGGGGAGCAAACAGGAUUA
rnacentral:rRNA from 1 species